rnacentral:rRNA from 1 species
UACGUAGGGUGCAAGCGUUGUCCGGAAUUAUUGGGCGUAAAGAGCUCGUAGGCGGUUUGUUGCGUCGGCUGUGAAAUCCCGAGGCUCAACCUCGGGUCUGCAGUCGAUACGAGCAAACUAGAGUGUUGCAGGGGAGACUGGAAUUCCUGGUGUAGCGGUGAAAUGCGCAGGAUAUCAGGAGGAACACCGGUGGCGAAGGCGGGUCUCUGGGCAACAACUGACGCUGAGGAGCGAAAGCGUGGGGGAGCGA